rnacentral:rRNA from 1 species
AACGAACGCUGGCGGCAUGCCUAACACAUGCAAGUCGAACGAGACCUUCGGGUCUAGUGGCGCACGGGUGCGUAACGCGUGGGAAUCUGCCCUUAGGUUCGGAAUAACUCAGGGAAACUUGAGCUAAUACCGGAUAAUGACUUCGGUCCAAAGAUUUAUUGCCUAAGGAUGAGCCCGCGUAGGAUUAGCUAGUUGGUGAGGUAAAGGCUCACCAAGGCGACGAUCCUUAGCNGGUCUGAGAGGAUGAUCAGCCACACUGGGACUGAGACACGGCCCAGACUCCUACGGGAGGCAGCAGUGGGGAAUAUUGGACAAUGGGCGAAAGCCUGACCCAGCAAUGCCGCGUGAGUGAUGAAGGCCUUAGGGUUGUAAAGCUCUUUUACCCGGGAUGAUAAUGACAGUACCGGGAGAAUAAGCUCC